GGAAUUACCACAAUUAAACCAAUAAAGGAUAUUUUUGUGUGUUCAUUGUGCCAUUCUUGCAUGUUAAAAUCAAGAACUUAGCUGAUCACAAACUAUCUAUAAUACUGCACCAAACAGUUAAAUUCUGUUUAUACAUAUUCGUAGAUAGAAUUCUUACCCUACAAUUACUGAACGUGUAAAAUUACAAUGAACCAAUGUAGGUUAAAACACACCAUCAGGUUUGGCAGUUAAUAUAAAGAAUCUGUAAUAGUUUGCUGUCCUAAGAAACCUAUAAUGGGGAUUAAGGAUUAACCAAUCCGCAAAGAAAAUUCAACCUAGAGAAGAGGGAACAGUUUUCAUUGUCUCCCGGGCAACUUCAUUGACCAUGUAAGUUACUUGCUACAAACAAAGAUUCCAAUUUUAAUGCUCACUGAAACAAUUAGGACCCAAAAGCACAUCAGGGAGAACCAGCUCCGCGACAUCAGAGACCAUGUCUUGCCUGUGAAUAAGCUCCCCAAUGGCACCAAAUUGGUUGGAGUUGUACUAAUAUUGUCUUGCAACAUGCCAAAAGAGAGGAUGACAUUGACAUUCCCAUUCUUGCUAAAUGACCCGUCCAUCCCACUGCUGCCAAAAGUAAUGUUUUCUAUUCUGAUAACACCAGCAGUAACACGAAUUGAGCUGGAUGAUUGUGCUGCAUUUAACUGUAGAGCUGCAUCCUUGAUAGGGAACUCAGAAGCAAAUGCAGGAGGUGCAGGAAUGCUGCCCAACAUGUGACUGGCCUGCUUCAUGAAUGGGUAUUUGAUAUCUGAGUCAAUCUUUGUCGCCUCUGGCUUUUGUUGCUUCGAGGAGGAUGCAUCAGUGUUGCUGUGUGUUGCUAACAGUUUUUCAGUUGCCAUUGGCACUUCCUCAGUUCCUCCAUUGACAUCCCUUAUCUUCUCAGAUAGAGAAGCUUGAUCAGAGACAGUACUUUCACUCCCUAUAAGUUCGGAAGGAUCAAAAGUUAGGUUGUCAUCACUAGCAUCAAAGAAAUUGAGGUACUCAUCAACCAUGUCAAAAACUGUAGAAUCUCCAGCAGAGUCUGGCUCCACAGGAUUCGACAGAUCAUUGGCCUCCAGGAAAAAUCCUUCGCUGAAUGGAGGAUUGCCAAUAGCAUCCAAGAAUGGCUCAUCAAGCAGGAAAUUGUCAUCAAUAGCAUUAGCAUUGUUGCUUGAUUCAGUGAUAUAUUCAUGUCGUACUGAUUUUGCAUCGAUCCCAUAUUGCCCAGGUAAACUGAAUAAGCUUUGGCCAUCUGGAAGAUCAGAACCAUGCUGAGCUUCCCCCCUGUCAAUUAUAGGCUUUUGAUCAUCUCCACUGAAGUUUUCAGAGGGCUCAACAUAGUUGCUUGUUUCUCCAUGGUAGUAGUUCACAGAAAGGGCAGCAUUUUCAGACACAACUCCACCCUCAAAAUUCUGCUCAAGGUCAUUAGUUUCCACAUGUACAUCUUCACCAAGUAUUACUUCAUCAGCCAUCACCAUCUCCUCACCAGGUAAUACAACCACCACUUCAUCAUCAUCCCAUUCUUCCUCAACAAAUGGUGCCCCAUACUGUUCUCCAUUCUUUGGCCCUGUUCCACUCUUUUGGAAAAUCCUACACAACACAAAUGCAUCUUGAACAACUCCAGCUUUCUCCAAAUCCUCAUCAGUAAGGCGAUACUCGUGCAUUACCCAAUUGGUACGCUCACCACGUGGAGCCCGUCCAAGAUGGUACACAAGGGUCUUCUUCAUCCCCACGGCUCGUGAGUUCCAGCGGACAGGCCGGUCCUUCCCAGUUGUCUUCCAGUAUCCUUUCUCUGUGGCCCGGUUUGUCUUGGAACCAUUGCCAUACUUCUUAUCCAGCAUACUAAAAAAGUACCACUCUAAAUCCCUGCUCUUCAACUUUGAUUUACCUAAAAUCCAUAAAAGUAAAGAAAAAAAAAAAAAGAAUGGAAACCAGAUGUUCAAAAAUAUAUUACUACUAAAACCAGUAGAGUGAAAGCUUAAACAAUCCCCAUAACCUCUUCUUUAAUUUCAGAUUUUAAGUACUUUUGCCAUUGAUGGUGAGAAAUACAAUUACAAAACCAAUAAAUGCCAUAAGUUUAGCAGAGCUAAACCAUUUAUUCAUCAACUCAACUAAGCAUUUAUUCAUCGAACAUUCAGAAUUAAAUAAGCAAAAAUAACUCGAAAUUACCAAUUUACCAAACAGAAAAGAAAAAGAAAAUUCAAAAAUUUUCAAACAACAUCAAUUAUACAUGUUACGUAUACGAUACACAAACGAACAUAGCAAAAUCAAGAUAUUAGAAACACAAUCGGACCUGGGAGAUCCCAUGGCUCAGUUUUGUAGAUGUCGACUACAGCGAUCGGAUCAAACCGGAAGGGUUUAUUAGUAACCUUCCGUUUGAGGUAGUAGCGAACAAGUUCCUCAUCAGUUGGGUGGAAUCGGAACCCAGGAGCUAGUGAAGUCGCUGAAUCACCACGGGCCAUCUACCAAAUCAAUACCAAAAUCAAAAGCGAGAGAAUCUUUAAAUUAUAAAGAAAGUGAGGUGAUAUUAGGGUUAGGAUUUUGGGAAUUAGGGAUUUCAAUUGGAAUCUCAAGGUAGAAAUGGGAAGAGAGACGACGCCAUUUGCUUGGAGAAAAGGUUGGAUUGGGUCUUGAAUUAAUAUAUAUACAUAUAUACAUAAUCCUUAGUUCUGAUUUUUCGAGGGAUUGUAAGGUGAGGAAAAGUUAUAGUCACCAGUGAAAGUAUGGUUUGUAGUAUCACCCCCGCAGUGCUCUUGUGUGGCGAUUGGUGAAAAGUAGGCCUCAAAUUGACUUUUUUUGAGAGAUUUU
rnacentral:misc_RNA from 1 species